ensembl:snoRNA
UAAGAUUGAAAAUUACCCUGGUUUUGGUCAUGGCAGUAACUGUGGGUGAUAUUUGACACUCAGAGCCAGUAGGGUCUCAUUUACCCACUCUCCCGUGUGGAAAUGUGAAACUCAGUUCCUGAUACAA